rnacentral:rRNA from 1 species
GAGAGAGAGACAUGCGCGCAUAUCAAUAAGCGGAGGAAAAGAAACUAACAAGGAUUCCCUUAGUAACGGCGAGUGAAGCGGGAAGAGCUCAAAUUUGAAAUCUUCAAGGUUUUACCUUGACGAAUUGUAGUUUAAAGAAGUGUUUUCUGCUGAAGUUUUGGUAAAAGUUCUUUGGAAUAGGACAUCAUAGAGGGUGAGAAUCCCGUAUUUGACCAUUAUUUUCAGCUUUGUGAUACACUUUCAAAGAGUCGGAUUGUUUGGGAAUGCAGUCCAAAAUGGGUGGUAAAUUUCAUCUAAAGCUAAAUAUUGGCGAGAGACCGAUAGCGAACAAGUACCGUCGAGGGAAAGAUGAAAAGAACUUUGAAAAGAGAGUUAAACAGUACGUGAAAUUGUCAAAAGGGAAGCGUUUGACACCAGUGUUGUUUUCUCGAAAAUCAAUUAAUAAUGGCUCGAUUUUGUAUUGCUGAGACCUUAAAAGCUCACUGUACAUUUUUCGUGUCUUUUUUAAUGCACUUUUCGUUUAACAAGUCAACAUCAGUUUCUUUUGUUGUAAAAGGGUCAUUGGAAGGUGGCUUUCUUUUCGGAGAAAGUGUUUAUAGCCUUUGGCCUCUGCAAUCGGAGAGACUGAGGUCUGCAGCGUAGACUCUUCGGGGUUAGAUACAUUUGUGCUAAGUUAUAGCUUUUUAUAGACAACUUGUUGACUAUAAUUAGUCUUGUAGCUUACUCGCUUAUGCUAUUUUACCUACGCUUAGGAUGUUGAGUCGUAGAGCACGCAG